rnacentral:tRNA from 1 species
UAUAACAAAGUGAAACACUUAAAAAUUUGAUUUUUAAAUUGGUAAAAUAUACCUGUUCGUU